UACGUAGGGUGCGAGCGUUAAUCGGAAUUACUGGGCGUAAAGCGUGCGCAGGCGGUUUGUUGUGUCGGUGGUGAAAUCCCCGGGCUCAACCUGGGAAUGGCAUUUGGGACUGCAAGGCUCGAGUGCGGCAGAGGAGACUGGAAUUCCUGGUGUAGCAGUGAAAUGCGUAGAUAUCAGGAGGAACACCGAUGGCGAAGGCAGGUCUCUGGGCUGACACUGACGCUCAUGCACGAAAGCGUGGGGAGCAAACAGG
rnacentral:rRNA from 1 species